rnacentral:rRNA from 1 species
UUCCCAGACUCCUACGGGAGGCAGCAGUAGGGAAUCUUUCACAAUGGGCGAAAGCCUGAUGGAGCAACGCCGCGUGAAGGAAGAAGGCUUUCGGGUUGUAAACUUCUUUUAAGGGGGAAGAGCAGAAGACGGUACCCCUUGAAUAAGCCACGGCUAACUACGUGCCAGCAGCCGCGGUAAUACGUAGGUGGCAAGCGUUGUCCGGAUUUACUGGGUGUAAAGGGCGUGCAGCCGGAGAGACAAGUCAGAUGUGAAAUCCGCAGGCUCAACCUGCGAACUGCAUUUGAAACUGUUUCCCUUGAGUAUCGGAGAGGUCAUCGGAAUUCCUAGUGUAGCGGUGAAAUGCGUAGAUAUUAGGAAGAACACCAGUGGCGAAGGCGGAUGACUGGACGACAACUGACGGUGAGGCGCGAAAGCGUGGGGAGCAAACAGGAUUAGAUACCCUAGUA